rnacentral:rRNA from 1 species
AAGGUAUUGAUUAGUACGGCGAGUGAAGCGGCAAAAGCUCAAAUUUGAAAUCUGGCACCUUCGGUGUCCGAGUUGUAAUUUGAAGAAGGUAACUUUGGAGUUGGCUCUUGUCUAUGUUCCUUGGAACAGGACGUCACAGAGGGUGAGAAUCCCGUGCGAUGAGAUGCCCAAUUCUAUGUAAAGUGCUUUCGAAGAGUCGAGUUGUUUGGGAAUGCAGCUCUAAGUGGGUGGUAAAUUCCAUCUAAAGCUAAAUAUUGGCGAGAGACCGAUAGCGAACAAGUACAGUGAUGGAAAGAUGAAAAGAACUUUGAAAAGAGAGUGAAAAAGUACGUGAAAUUGUUGAAAGGGAAGGGCUUGAGAUCAGACUUGGUAUUUUGCGAUCCUUUCCUUCUUGGUUGGGUUCCUCGCAGCUUACUGGGCCAGCAUCGGUUUGGAUGGUAGGAUAAUGACUAAGGAAUGUGGCUCUACUUCGGUGGAGUGUUAUAGCCUUGGUUGAUACUGCCUGUCUAGACCGAGGACUGCGUCUUUUGACUAGGAUGUUGGCAUAAUGAUCUUAAGCCACCCGUCUUGAAACACGGACACAA